CCCCGCGGUCGCCGCGGCUGGGUGUAGGGUGUCUGCUGCGCGGGAGCGCGGGGUCUUCGGGAGCGAGGGGUCUUCAGGACCGCAGGGCUCGGCUGGAGCUGAGAAAUGGCGGCUCGGAGCGUGUGAAGGCCGCCGGCCCCCGAGAAAUCCCCCUCCUCCAGGACUUAUACUGGAAAAAAAAUUACAGCGGAUAGGCAGCGAGUUGUUGGGGAUUAUAAAGAAGAAUAGCGGAUGGUAUUUUUCCUCAAGGGCUUACAGUCUUUGAUAUUCUUCAUUCAAUUCAACAAAUAUCUACCCUGUGCCAGCUGCUUCUCGAGUCUUCCAUUUGAACUCUUACCACAACAAGUGUUAGAGACUGUCUUGGAUUGGACCCUCUGCCUUCCACAAGGACAUCUGGAGCUUUGACAGAUGGGCCCUAGGGACACAGCACCUUAACCCAAGAAGGGCUGUCCUGAUCAAAGUAUGGCAAAUAUUCUCCAGGUGAGGGGUGUAAGAGAGUCUUUGGUACCUCCUCAGAUCACACCAGCAGGCCUUCCCUUGUGAACGAAUGGAAAGAAAUUAAAACAUCUGGAAAGAAUGAAUGCACCAAGAAUGAAAGCAAAUACCAUAAAUCAAGACAGGGGCUCAGCCAGUGGACACCAGGCAGGAGGAAGGGCGGCUUGGAGAGAAAGCCCUGCAAUACUCCUUAACCCACUCCUUUGUAACCCCGGCUUCUGGUGCGCCAUUCUCGUCGCCUGAGGGGCCCGCGACCAGCUGUGACAAGGGCCACAGGGGCAGUUACCCGCCCUGAGCCCAGCAAGCAGGGCCUGCCUUAGGCCCUGAAUGCCACCCACUGGCUGUGCAGUACAGCGGCCGAACCCACUUACAGCCAGUGUGGCUUUAGCAAGUUCCACACCCAUUCUUCAGCUUUCUGUGCUUGGUCCCCACGGAGGUGAGAAUAAUGGCACCUACCUCAUAGUGUUGCUGUGAGGAUUAAACUAGCCAACAUAGGUCGAGUGCUCAGAACAGAGCUGGGUACAUGGUUUCUCCGCCACAUGAACGCUGGCUUCCGUGAUCACGCAUGACAAAGGAUACCUGCCCCUGAGCUGCUCCCACACUAGGGAGGGGACCACCUUCCAAUUUCUUAUUCAACGGAAAGGCUGGCAGGCAAGUAUGAUUUAAUGUUCUUGCGGGUUCCUCUCUAGACGUCAGGCAGGGCAGCUGCCGCCCCCUUGGGGUUGACAUUCUUGCCGGAGUCGCUUUCCCCCCUCUCUCUCCUCCGCCCCUCAGCAGCCACCGGUGAGGACAACCGCUGUCCUUGGGGUGCGGUGGGGUACGCAGCUGAGAGGAAGCUUUGGUUGAGCCCCGGAUGAGUCAUGAGUCUGCACAUGUGGCGCGGCAGGGUGAGGUCACGGCGCAGACCGGGAGCCCAGGCGCAGGCCCGCUUGGCCCGAAAUGGAGCUAUUUUCACACAGCGGAUGCUUCCGAGUUGUGGAGGUGGCUGUGGACCCUGCACGCCACAUUCUCUUCCUUCCCGUGGUAUUCUAAAAAGGAUGUGACAAGCCGGGGUCAUGCAAACACAGAGAUCCUUCCGCCUCCCGGGAAAGCCACUGGAUGCAGUCUGCUGAGCAGCACAGGUGGCGUUCUCCAGGAAGCGGGCUCCGUGACCGAGACUGGCGCACAGGAAGUCUGCUUGGGGAGCGCUCUCAAGAUCAACCCCUGUGCGGGGAGGCAGGGAAGCUGCAUGGGCAGAGGGAGAAGCUGAACUCCGAUGCUGUUACAAUAAAGGCUGCAGCCACUGCCCAAGGAUGGCCCUUUGAAAUUGGAGCGGAGGGCCGGUUUUCUACUCCUGCUUUGACUGUUGGGUGCAGGCUGCACCGGGAAGGGGCAGUGGCCUUGGGCGAGGUGUCUCUCCUCAGCCCAGGGUGAACCCUGGAGAAGACGCAGAUCCACUCCGGCUGCCAGCAUGCCUGGCAGCUGGGCAGUGACACCUCUGUACUACAGGGAAGAUCUGCGUCCACCCCACGGGCAUAGACGUUAGACCUUCUUUACUUUUAUCACGUGUUUAAAUCCUUCCCAUACUCUAAGACUGAAGGUUAUAAUAAUUAAGGGUACGGGUUUUGAAGUCUGACAGCUUUGUGUUCAGAUUUCAUUUCUGCCAUCCAUUCGACAAUAUAGAGUAUCUCUGUAUUUCAGGUGCUGUUCAAGGCCCUGAGGGUAUAACAGUGAACAAAAAAGAGUUAAAACCCCUGCCUCGGAGCUGACAUUCCGUGAGUGGUAGGGGGACAGAGUCAAUUAAAAAAGAAAUAUAGAAUAAAUACAUGGUGAUUAGUGCCAUGUAAGAAUAUACUUAUAAUACUUUAAAGAAUUAAGUGGGGUGUGUGGGGGGCAGAAGGGGAUGGUGGGAGUGCUGUUUUGUGUGGAGGUCAGGGAAGGCUUUCCUGAGAAAGUGGUGUUUGAGCAGAGAAAUGAAGAGGAGAAGGUGUGGUCCCGAAGAGGUCCAGGACAGUGGGUUUUGGGGAGGUGGGUGAGGCGGGGAACAGUCCAAAGGCCCUGAGAAGAGAGUAUGCUGGGAGUGUUCAAGGCACACGAGGAAGAAAAGAGGGAGGUGCAGGGAAGGGGGUUUCAGGAGGAGGAGAUAAAAUCAGAGAGGUUUAUAUGAAAUAUCCAGAACAGGCAGAUCUAUAGAGACAGAAAGCAGGUUGCUUGGGGCUGGAGGAGUGGGUACAAUGGAGGAGGGAUGACUUUGGGAAGCAGAGUAUCUUUUCAAAAUGAUGAGAAUGUCCUAAAACUCACUGAGAUGACAGGCACGCCGUUCUGUGAAUAUAAUGAAACCCAUAUGACUGCACAUUUUAAAUGAGUGAGCUGUGUGGUGUGUGAAUUGUAUCUUAAUAAAACUAUUUGAAAAAUCGGAGGGGUGACUGCCUGACAGGGCCUCAGGGGCCAUCAUGAGCAUUUGUGCUUUUACUCUGCAGUGGGGCACUAGGAGUUGGUUUUAAGUAGAAGAGUGAAAUGAUCAGAUUGUUUUUUGAAAAGAGUCUCUGCUGCUGAGUUGAGAAUUGGUGGAAGGAGACACUCAUGGAAGCAGAUGGAGGAGAGAGGAGUUACUACAAUAUCCAGGGGAGGGAUGGUGGCGGCUCCCACCAGGCGCUGGAGGCAGGGUAGCAGGUGGUUGAAUUUAAACACCCUUUGAUAGCAGAGCUGGAAGGAAGUGCCAAGAAGAUGACUGUGUGUGGAUGUUGAAGACAGGAGUCAGUUUCUCAGUUCUGACUGGUAGAGUGGAGUCACCAAUGACCAGGAUGGAGAGAAAUGUGGGAGCAACACAUUUUGGAUUGGGAUCAGGAGUUUGUUUUAGGGACAUGAAGUUUGAGAGGCCUAUUUAGAAGGACCUCACAGGCAAUUGGGAAUCGGGUCCAAAAUUCACAGGAGUGGUCUGUGGUAGGGAUGAGGCUUGGGAGUCAGAAGCAUGUUCGUGGAAUGUAGACUUGAGACUGAACGGGACCCUACGGAGGAGUAGGCUCAAGUUAGAACCUUUGGGGCUUAGUUCUCAAAGCUAUGGAAGACCUACCUUGCACGGUGCUGAGUGCUGGCAGAUGCAGGAUGGACCAAGUGCUCAGUGGCUAGCUCUCCCCCACUGCAUGAUUUUGUCUCAGAAUUCCCCACGCACUUGCUGUUUGCUCAGCUCCCUCUGGAGCUCACUGUUUAUUAUUUAACUACUUGAUCUAGUUUAGCACUGAGCACCAACUGAGAAAAAGCCACUCUGCUAGCACAUCAGCUCCCUAAGGAUCCUGGCCCACACUGUCUACUCUCCAAGGAUGCACUUUUCAACGGUGAAAACAGAAAACCCCAUCUACUUAAUGAUAAAGGAUAGCAAACUACAAGGCUGUAGCAGGUGUGACACUGGGGCUGGGGGUGGGGAGACACUGAUUCAGACUGGGAACAUGUGUGAAGACUCACCAAGGAAGCUGAACAUGAACUUGAACUUGAUCUUGAGAGCUGGGAAGGAAUGUGUUGGGGAGAGAUGAAGGCAGACAGGGAUGGGGGAAGGGCAACACAGGCAGACAUGACAAGAACAGAACCAUAGGAAGCCUUUGUGGCAGCAGCAUGGUGUUUGUGGUAAUCGAGCAGAGGGAGCUCAGACUGGCUUGGGUCAGACUGGAGGAGCUGGUGGCAGGCACUCCAUUUUAGCAACCAGCACCCAUGGGCACACUGUCAGUUAUCUGGUUACCCUGGGGAGCAGGCCCGAGGUCUUUCAGUCUCUCUCACUCUGAAGCCCAUCACAUCAACUCAUCAGCUUCACUGAGACUGCCAAUUUCCACCCCUCCAGCCCUGAGCCAACCUCCUUUGCUCCCCUGCUGUGGUUCUAUCACAGCGGCCCAGCUCUUGCCAGCAUCCUCAGUUGAUCUGCCUCUUUGGCUUUCUACCCCAUCCUCUUACAAACUCCUCACCCUGGAUCAUUUCAACAGCCUCUCUCUCUUCUAUUUCAGGGUGUUGAGGUGGUUGGACAACACCUCAACUGCAUACUGCAGUAGAUUCAACUUUGUUGUCACCAGUCUCAGUUGGGCCCUAAGAGUAUUUGUUCUUUUAUGCAUCCCUAGCCAGCUUGAUUUUCCAUCUUCCAACUGAGGCCAUGCCAAACCUUGGCUCCUAUUCUCAAAUCAUUCUCAGCACAAAAAAAUGGAAAGGUUUGGGUUCAUCCUCCCUCAAAUGUUUGCCUUCCCUGCAUGCAAACUUGUCUACUUAUCAGUUAUCUAUUGCUGUGUAAUAUUAA